AAUGGGCAUGACCCAAUAGAAAAUAAUUGGGCAUGGCCGAAUAGAAAAUAAAAAAAUAAAUAGGUUUGGCCCAAAUAGGAAAAAUGGAGAAGCCCAUGAAGAAGGCCCAAUGGAAAGUUGUCGUGGAGGCGUGCCGAACAAAGUGUGUGACUGACAAAUAGGAAUAAUUAUACGCGUACGAAUCAAUAGUGAAGUAAUAUCCCACUAUUAUGAGGUGAGUAGGGGGUGUCAAUUUUAAAGAAUUUCGUAUAUAUAUACAUGUACGUAUAUUUUACGUGAAGUGCAAAAUUUAUGGAAAGCAUGCGUUGAUAGAAUUUUAA